AAAGUUGUGAAUUAGUCCCCAAACAAAAUAUAUGAAUUGUACUAUUUUACAAGUAUAUUUCCUUGUAUUAGAGAUGCUUUCUCCUUCCCAAUGUACAGUUUUCCCUGUAGAAUUGAAAAUAGGAAAGAAGAUAUACCGUUUUUUAGCAAACCUUGCUAAUUCCCUCAUGCCAACAUUAAAUGGAAACGUCCAACUGUGGUAAAAGCAGGCAUACAUAAAUCAACUCGGAAUCCCCACUCGUAAUUUAAGGUCACUGGGGUUACAUUGGUUGUAGAGCAGUUAUAACUGCAUGUAGACACUCUGACUAAACCACAACUGUCCUGUUCUUCAUUAGGAUCAAACUCAAGAGUAGAAUGAAUUGUUUAUGAGUAAUUGUUUAUGUAACUUUUUUUUUUUUCUUCAUAGGUUUAUAAAUGCAAGAAGAAGAAUAGUCCAGCCAAUGAUAGACCAGUCUAAUCGAGCAGGCAAGUCCCCAAUAGUAACUGUAUUCAAGUCACGCAGGCGAAAACCAUCCUCAAGCCAUUCACCGGGAGGUCUGUUACCUGUAAGUCAAGGAACACCAUAUAAUCCAGAUGGACAACCAAUGGGAGGUUUUGUAAUGGAUGGCCAGCAACACAUGGGUAUCAGGGCGCCAGGACCUAUGAGUGGAAUGGGCAUGAAUAUGGGCAUGGAGGGGCAAUGGCACUACAUGUAAUCUUCACCUAGUUAACCAAUGGCAAAGCAAGGGGGAAGACUGCAGAGUAUGCCAGGGAAUUACAUAUCCGCAAGUGGUCCAAUGGGGAUGAGUAUGGGACAGCCAAGUUACAGCCCAUCACAGAUGCCUAUACAUCACGCUCAACUGCGUCACGGACCUUCUGUGCAUACCUACAUUCCUGGACAUCACCACCAUCCAGCAAUGAUGAUGCAUGGGGGACCACAUCACCCUGGAAUGCCAAUGUCAGCAUCUAGCCCCUCAGUACUUAAUACAGGAGACCCAACAAUGAGUGGACAUGUCAUGGACAUUCAUGCUCAGUAACUUAUGGGAAAAUGUAUUGUCUGCAAUGGCAAGUUUUGAAUACUGUCUUUCUGCUCCGACUGUGAAGUUCCAUUCUUGGCAUCGGUAUAGGACCAAGACAGAUUCUUCAUAGGGACCCAAAAAGCAGAAAACUGAAAAUCAAAUUGGGGACAUGAUAAAUAAUUAUAUAAGACAUUAUGAGAACAAAGAGUGAAAUAUUGUAAAUGAUAUUAUACUGUUAACCAUAUUAUGUUGUUUCUUAUAGAUUUUUUUAAAAAAUGUGAAAUUUUUCCACACUAUGUGUGUUGUUUCCAUAGCUCUUCAAUUCCUCCAGAAGCCUCCUUACUUAAAAAAAGCCUUACAGUUAUCCUGCAAAUGACAGAAACUGAUUAUUUGCAGGUCAUAUUAGAGCAUUAAAGUAAGUAUGUCAGGCAGAAGAAUUUUUCUUCGAUCCAAGGAUUUCAGCCAUUCACUCGUUCUCUGCAGCUUUGUCUCAGUUUUUUUUUUUCUCUUUCUGUCUGUCUCCCUGCCUCUGUCUUUUGCCUGAGGCUUGAAUUUGCAUGUCUAAUUCAUUUACUCACCAUAUUUGAAUUGGCCUGAACAGAUGUAAAUCGGGAAGGAUGGGAAAAACUGCAGUCAUCAACAACGAUUAAUCAGCUGUUGCAGGCAGUGUCUUAAGGAGACUGGUAGAAGGAGGCAUGGAAACCCAAAGGCAAUGUGUUUGGAGCCCAGUUGUCACAUCAGUGUCCGCGUGCAGCAACAGACAUAAUGUACAUCACUUCCUGUUUUAUGCAGCUGAAACAUAAACUGAAGAAAAUUUUAUUUUUAAUAUGUUGACUUUUGUUCUCAGCAAAGCAUCAGUCGUACAUGCAUUUCCAUAGUCCCACCAUGGAACAUUUAUGUAUACAUUGUAAAUAAAUUUUGUGCAAAAAGGACUGGAAAAAUAACUGUAUUGUUGCAAUUUUUUUUUGUAUAAGUAGCUAUUUGGUAUGAGUUGGCAUGCAGAUUUAUGAAGUGGGAUAAGCUAAUCCAUACAAUACUUUUUUUGUUGUGCUAAAACAAAUGCUUGUUGAUAAAGUUUUUCUAUCAAGAAACAAAGGAACUGAUAGUUAUUAAUAACCAUUGCACACUCAGUCUUAGAGAUUCUGAUUAAAAAAACAAAAAAACGUUUGGAUUGUAUACCUCAGAGCUCAGUUGUAUGACUUUGAGUGAAAUAAUGAAAUCUGAUCCUAAAAUAAAAACAAAUUAUUUUUUUUA